GAUGAAGAACGUAGCGAAAUGCGAUACUUGGUGUGAAUUGCAGAAUCCCGUGAACCAUCGAGUCUUUGAACGCAAGUUGCGCCCGAGGCCUCCUGGUCGAGGGCACGUCUGCCUGGGUGUCACGCAUCGUCGCCCCCUCUCCCCUCGGCUCGCGAGGGCGGGGGCGGAUACUGGUCUCCCGCGCGCUCCCGCUCGCGGUUGGCCCAAAAUCGAGUCCUCGGCGACGGUCGCCACGACGAGCGGUGGUCGAGAGACCCUCGGACACGGUCGUGCGCGCGCCUGUCGCCCCCGGGAUCUCCUGGACCCUCGGGCAUCGAAAUUCUAGGAUGCUCUCGUUGCGACCCCAGGUCAGGCGGGACUACCCGCUGAGUUUAAGCAUAUCAAUAAGCGGAGGA
rnacentral:misc_RNA from 1 species